rnacentral:lncRNA from 1 species
UUACUUCGUAGAUCUUAUCAAUUUUGUUAAGAUAUAUUUUUGUGAUUCUAUAUAUUUUCAUGUCACUUCUUCUUAGAAAACCGUAGUUUCAAAUACUAUAGUUGAAAAAAUAAACCUUAAAUAAAGAAUAAACAUAUGAAAUCAAUUGUUGCUUUUGAAAAGGUAUAAGGAGGCCCAACUAUAAAAGUUGAAACUGUCUCAAAAUUAAUACACUUUAAAUCAUAGGAUACUAAAGUGAGAAAGUGCGAAACUAUAUAGUACUAUCUUGAUACACUUUAAAUUAUAGAAUACUAAAAUGAAAAAGUGCGAAACCACUAGAGAGGCUUUUGAAGUUUUUCCUAGU